CCAUUCGAACCACUGGGCCCGCCACCCCUCCCAGAGCCGGGCAGAGAACCCAGGCGUCCGGGCUCCCAGGCCCUGCCCCCAUUCGAACCACUGGGCCCUCCACCCCUCCCAGAGCCGGGCAGAGAACCCAGGCGUCCGGGCUCCCAGCCCACUCCCCAUUCGAACCACUGGGCCCUCCACCCCUCCCAGAGCUGGGCAGAGAACCCAGGCGUCCGGGCUCCCAGCCCACUCCCCAUUCGAACCACUGGGCCCUCCACCCCUCCCAGAGUUGGGCAAAGAACCCAGGCGUCCGGGCUCCCAGCCCACUCCCCAUUCGAACCACUGGACCCUCCACCUCUCCCAGAGUUGGGCAGAGAACCCAGGCAUCCGGGCUCCCAGCCUGCCCCCAUCUCUAACUCCUGGACCCUCCUCCCCUCCCAGAGUCAGGUACAGAACUCAGGCACCGAGCUCCCAGCCCAUCCCCCCGCUCUACCCACUGGACCCUCCUCCCCUCCCAGAUCUGGGCAGAGAACCCAGGCGUCCAGGCCC